rnacentral:rRNA from 1 species
GCUAACUACGUGCCAGCAGCCGCGGUAAUACGUAGGUGGCAAGCGUUAUCCGGAAUUAUUGGGCGUAAAGCGCGCGCAGGUGGUUUCUUAAGUCUGAUGUGAAAGCCCACGGCUCAACCGUGGAGGGUCAUUGGAAACUGGGAGACUUGAGUGCAGAAGAGGAAAGUGGAAUUCCAUGUGUAGCGGUGAAAUGCGUAGAGAUAUGGAGGAACACCAGUGGCGAAGGCGACUUUCUGGUCUGUAACUGACACUGAGGCGCGAAAGCGUGGGGAGCAAACAGGAUUAGAUACCCUGGUAGUC